CCGGGCCGGGCCGGGCUGAGCCGCCUCGCCCUGAGGCAGCCUCUUUGGGUGCGAAAUGCUGAGGACGCUGCAUGUGUUGAUAUCUGAGUGGCUUAAUGAAGCAGCCUGACCAUCUCAUGCAGUAUAGGAGGAUGUAGUGAGGUUACAUUUAUCGUUUCUAUGCUGCUGAUCCUGGAUAUCUUCACUUUUCCCUUGAUGAUCACUUUUACUCCCCAGUCUCUUAAACAGGAAUCUUCAGUUCUCAGGUUAACCUGUGUUAUGACAGGGUAAGUUCUCACGGUAUUGCUCAGAACAGAAUGUUUUUAUAAGAGUAGCUGGCAUCCACAUCGUCUAAUUUAGCAGCAGAGAAACCCACACAGGUGUUGUUUCCUUUCCUGGUACCUGUGGACUCCCUGCUUACCUUUUGUACCUGGAUCAGAUUAUAAAAUCCCAGCUCUCUAGUCACCUAAAAUAUUUACUGGCUUGUUAAACAGAACUACAUGUGCUGCUGUGAAGCCAAGAUCUGUUUUAGAAUUCUGUCACAGGACUCUAGUGGUCUGUUUUCA